AGACUAAUGAGGAGCGUCCUUCUGCAUGAACAACAUCCUCUCCUUAGUCAUUAGUUGGUUUCAUGAUCAGAACUACGCGGGACAUUCCCACAAGGAUUUUGCAAAAAAUAAGGCAAUGAGAACCUUUGGACAGGAGUCUCACUCAGCAAAAUGACAUUGUGGUGGCGUGUGCGGUGAUCGAGUGUCGGACACCCUCCACCCGGACAGCGGCCGUGGCAACGGAAUAAAAGGGACAGAUGGGAAACACUGUCGGAGUAGAAUCUGUUGAACACAACGACUUUUCUUUGCAAAGGACUCAGUCUGCUAUCUGCUGGUUGAGGGCGCCAGUGUCUACGUCCACAGCAGAAAAGAUGGAGUAAGAAUACGCACUUUCGGCCUUGCUGUGAAGAAUGAGAUCCAGAGGAGGAAGGGUAAGAGCCCCUUUGAGUGCCUCCUUUGUCCUGGGCAUUGUGCCAAGGGCUUUUGUCCACCAUAUGAGAGUCCUUUGGACACCCUAACAUGAUAGGCCAAAUUGAGAGAUGGUUACCACCACUAUUAAAAUCGGAGAAGAUUAUAAUGAUCAGAGAAAUGAAUGGGAGACAGGAAGGAGACCCAGAGAGGGUUGACUGUUCAUUCACAAAACCUGACAAUGCAUGGACUGUGAAAGAUAAGAGCCAUGGCUUGACAGAAAGUCACCUGUGAAAAUGAAGGGCACGGGGGUGACUCAGUCGGUUAAGCGUCUGGCUUCGGCUCAGGUCAUGAACUCAGGGUCCUGGGAUAGAGCCCCACAUAGGGCUUCUUGCUCAGCAGGGAGCCUGCUUCUCCCUCUCCCUCUGCCUGCCACUCUGCCUACUUGGGAUGGCUCUCUCAAUCUGUCAAAUAAAUAAAUAAAAUCUUAGAAAGAAAAAGAUUAGUGUUGCCUUGACCAUCUUUAUCAACCAGGGAGAGGAAGAGCCAGAAGGG